GGUUUUCCCUAGUCAUGGAUUUCUAUAUGUCUGUCUUUUUCCUUGUAGCUUUUGGGGUUCUUGUGUACAUAUCAGCUACCUUUGUCAAAUCUUAAUAUCUGCAAUAGCUACUUCAGAUAUUUUGCCUUAUAAACAUGUAUUCUAAAAGUACUCAGAAUAAAAAUUAAAGUAGUUGAAGUGUGCAUUCAGAAACCAAACAGUGCAGCUGUCACCACCGCUCACAGGAAAUUCACCAAACUAAACUUGACCAGAGCCAUUCAUAGUCACAAUACAUGGCCGAGAGGAAAUGCCCAAACCCCAAAUGCGUUUCAUCAAAGGCUGGAGGACAAAGGAGGUUCUGUUUCUCGGCACUUAAAAUUGGCCGCAUCCCACAGAUGCACCACGUGGUCCAGAGCCAUCUCCCACCGGCUGCAGGACCCAAUCUGUGGGCGUUUGCUCCCGGGGCUCCUGGGUACUCAGCCGGGGAGUUCCUCCUUUGGUGCUGCUCUCUGGGACUCUCUGCCUACGUGUGAGCACGUCGCUAGAGGAUCUGCCCACGUGCAGCAUGCCUGCACCUCCAGCCACAGUGGUUGCUGAAAUGACUGCCUGCCAAAGUCUCUGUGCGCCAAGCAUCACCAGCACAUGGUGCUGGGAGAAGGGUUGCUGUCCGCUAUCCGGAUAGCAGCCAACUAGAACUGCACUGCCUUCUUGCUUGCCUUUCCUGGCUUAAAAUUGAAGUUGCCCGGAAAAAUCAAACAUACGAUUACCAUAGGAUCCUGGAAUCCUACUUGAAGGGGAUCUCCCCACCAGAAGGAAAAGCAGGGCCUUGAAGUGAUACUUGUCCCCCUGUGUUCACAGCAGCCUUAUUCGCAAUAACUAAAACAUUUAAAACAACCCAAGUGUCUGUCGAUGCAUGCCUGGAUGAACAGAACAUGGUCCAGCCCCAUAAUGGAGUGUGAUUCAGCCUUCAAAAGACAGCCGCUACAACACAGCUGGACUGACAAGGUGUGAUGGUCAGUGAGAGAAGCCAGACACAAGGACAGACACAGUAUGACUCCACUGGUAUGAGGUGCCUAGAGUCGUCAGACCCGAGACAGAGAGAGGAGGAUGGGGAGGGGGCACGGGCUGGGAAGGGGGAGUUAGAGUCUAAUGGGGCAGAGUUUCCAUUGGGGAAGAUGGACCGUUCUGGGGAUGGCCGCACACCCACAUGAACAUACUUAGUGCUGCCAAGCUGGACACUUAAAAAUGGUCAAGA
rnacentral:lncRNA from 1 species